CUUCUACGGAGGGCAGCAGGCGCGCAAAUUGCCCAAUGUCAAAAAAAAACGAUGAGGCAGCGAAAAGAAAUAGAGCCGGCAGUGCCACUGGCAUUGCCGUUUUCAAUGGGGGAUAUUUAAACCCAUCCAAAAUCGAGUAUCAAUUGGAGGACAAGUCUGGUGCCAGCACCCGCGGUAAUUCCAGCUCCAAAAGCGUAUAU
rnacentral:rRNA from 1 species